CCAAUAGCGUAUAUUAAAGUUGUUGCAGUUAAAAAGCCCGUAGUUGAAUUUCGGGAUCAGUACGCCGGUCGUGCCGUCGGUAUGUACUGGUGUCACUGAUUCCUCCCUUCUGACGAACCGUUAUGCCAUUUAUGUGGUGUGGCGGGGAAUCAGGACUGUUACUUUGAAAAAAUUAGAGUGUUUAAAGCAGGCUCGCGCUUGAAUACAUUAGCAUGGAAUAAUGAAAUAGGACGUUUGAUUCUAUUUUGUUGGUUUCUAGGAUCGACGUAAUGAUUAAUAGGGAUAGUUGGGGGCAUUAGUAUUCAAUUGUCAGAGGUGAAAUUCUUGGAUUUAUUGAAGACUAACUACUGCGAAAGCAUUUGCCAAGGAUGUUUUCAUUAAUCAAGAACGAAAGUUAGGGGAUCGAAGACGAUCAGAUACCGUCGUAGUCUUAACCAUAAACUAUGCCGACUAGGGAUCGGAUGAUGUUAAUUUUUUAAUGACUCAUUCGGCGCCUUACG
rnacentral:rRNA from 1 species